GAUGAACGCUGGCGGCGUGCCUAAUACAUGCAAGUCGAGCGAACAGACGAGGAGCUUGCUCCUCUGACGUUAGCGGCGGACGGGUGAGUAACACGUGGAUAACCUACCUAUAAGACUGGGAUAACUUCGGGAAACCGGAGCUAAUACCGGAUAAUAUAUUGAACCGCAUGGUUCAAUAGUGAAAGACGGUUUUGCUGUCACUUAUAGAUGGAUCCGCGCCGCAUUAGCUAGUUGGUAAGGUAACGGCUUACCAAGGCGACGAUGCGUAGCCGACCUGAGAGGGUGAUAGGCCACACGGGAGCUGAGACACGGACCAGACUCCUACGGGAGGCAGCAGUAGGGAAUCUGCGGCAAUAGGCGAAAGCCUGACGGAGCAACGCCGCGUGAGUGAUGAAGGUCUUCGGAGCGUAAAACUCUGUUAUUAGGGAAGAACAAAUGUGUAAGUAACUAUGCACGUCUUGACGGUACCUAAUCAGAAAGCAACGGCUAACUACGUG
rnacentral:rRNA from 1 species